rnacentral:misc_RNA from 1 species
GAUGAAGAACGUAGCGAAUUGCGAUAAGUAAUGUGAAUUGCAGAAUUCAGUGAAUCAUCGAAUCUUUGAACGCAGCUUGCGCUCUCUGGUAUUCCGGAGAGCAUGCCUGUUUCAGUGUCAUGAAAUCUCAACCACUAGGGUUUCCUAAUGGAUUGGAUUUGGGCGUCUGCGAUCUCUGAUCGCUCGCCUUAAAAGAGUUAGCAAGUUUGACAUUAAUGUCUGGUGUAAUAAGUUUCACUGGGUCCAUUGUGUUGAAGCGUGCUUCUAAUCGUCCGCAAGGACAAUUACUUUGACUCUGGCCUGAAAUCAGGUAGGACUACCCGCUGAACUUAAGCAUAUCAAUAAGCGGAGGA